CCUUAGUGUCGUCUAGUCUUCUAAAGAUAUCACCAACCUUCCCUCGGUUCCACCAUCAAAAUCUGCAUCUCAUCAGCUCCAACCUUUGGGUGAUGCAGCACAUCGCAUUGCCCCACACCAUUAGCCUCAACAUCUCUCGCAUAAUGUCCUAGGAUCGAAGAUAGGAGAGUUAGAAUUUCUCAAAUCAUAAAGGGCUCCAAUACAAGAGAUCCAUAUCAGUGG
rnacentral:lncRNA from 1 species